GAUGAACGCUGGCGGCGUGCCUAAUACAUGCAAGUCGAGCGAACAGACGAGGAGCUUGCUCCUCUGACGUUAGCGGCGGACGGGUGAGUAACACGUGGAUAACCUACCUAUAAGACUGGGAUAACUUCGGGAAACCGGAGCUAAUACCGGAUAAUAUAUUGAACCGCAUGGUUCAAUAGUGAAAGACGGUUUUGCUGUCACUUAUAGAUGGAUCCGCGCCGCAUUAGCUAGUUGGUAAGGUAACGGCUUACCAAGGCGACGAUGCGUAGCCGACCUGAGAGGGUGGUAGGCGACACUGGAACGGAGACACGGUCCAGACUCCUACGGGAGGCAGCAGUAGGGAAUCGUCCGCAAUGGGCGAAAGCCUGACGGAGCAACGCCGCGUGAGUGAUGAAGGUCUUCGGAGCGUAAAACUCUGUUAUUAGGGAAGAACAAAUGUGUAAGUAACUAUACACGUCUUGACGGUACCUAAUCAGAAAGCCACGGCUAACUACGUG
rnacentral:rRNA from 1 species